UUAACUUAAUGAACUACAUGAUUGAAGGAGUUGGAUAUAGUUCCGAUCGUUCCUUUCGCAAAGCAGUUACUUUGAACUGCUUCUUUCCCGAACGACACAACUCUUGUUAAAUUGUUUUGGUUAUGGAUUCGGAGGCACAUUCACGCUGAUCAAAUCCAGUGCCUGUGCAGCCUCCAGCAAAAAAUCGAGGAAGAGUAAAUCUCGCAAAAGGACAAGGGACGCAAUUGAACCACUCGAUGAUAAAGGAAUUGUCCGGAAGCAAAAAGAACUGAUGAGAGUUUUACACGUUAAAAACUUUCAGCUGCAAAACGG